GAUGAACGCUGGCGGCGUGCUUAACACAUGCAAGUCGAACGAUGAAGCCCAGCUUGCUGGGUGGAUUAGUGGCGAACGGGUGAGUAACACGUGAGUAACCUGCCCUUAACUCUGGGAUAAGCCUGGGAAACUGGGUCUAAUACCGGAUAGGAGCGUCCACCGCAUGGUGGGUGUUGGAAAGAUUUAUCGGUUUUGGAUGGACUCGCGGCCUAUCAGCUUGUUGGUGAGGUAAUGGCUCACCAAGGCGACGACGGGUAGCCGGCCUGAGAGGGUGACCGGCCACACUGGGACUGAGACACGGCCCAGACUCCUACGGGAGGCAGCAGUGGGGAAUAUUGCACAAUGGGCCCAAGCCUGAUGCAGCGACGCCGCGUGAGGGAUGACGGCCUUCGGGUUGUAAACCUCUUUCAGUAGGGAAGAAGCGAAAGUGACGGUACCUGCAGAAGAAGCACCGGCUAACUACGUG
rnacentral:rRNA from 1 species